GCUGGGCGUCGUGGUGCAUGCCUGUAAUCCUAGCAGCUUGGGAGGCUGAGGAAGGAGGAUUGCGAGUUCAAAGCCAGCCUCAGCAACUUAGUGAGACUCUGUCUCUA
rnacentral:sRNA from 1 species